AAUUGCGGCCAUACCACCUUUGUAUGGUUUCACAAGGGUAAGCAGGGUCAGGCCUGGUUAGUACUUGGAUGGGAGACUGCCUGGAAAUGAGUGGUGGUUGUAGAGC
ensembl:rRNA 5S_rRNA 5S ribosomal RNA